AUUACCGCAGUAAUUUGAACGUUAUCUGAUCCUAUGAUUUAGUUAGGGACACUAUAGUUAGCACUUAGUAGACUUUGGUAUCUAUAUGUGCAGGUUCCAUUCCUACUUAGGUAGAAUUGUGCCUUAACAUUCUUUAUUACCCUCCUAGCAUUUUGAUUCUCCUCCAUAGCGCAGACGUGUGCUAUAGCAUAUCCAUUUCUACACAUCAAUAAAGAUACUGGAGUUUACCUUGUUUUUCACAUUGUAUCUUUUUUUUAUUCUAUCUUGUUUUGUAUCAAGCGUCUAGUUACCAACUGUCGUUUAGAUACAAUUUUUGUCACUAUUUGUCAAUAUUUAAAAUACCAUUAAAAUCUUUUUUUGUUUUUUGACCUUUCGGUCUUUUUAAUCAGUGCUCUUUUUCCUUAUACUUCAAUUAUUAAUUACGAAGUCUAGGCAUACACUCCCCUUUUUCCCAGUUGAUAGGUACACUAUUCUUUCAUUUUUUUGAACUGGAUUACAUAUUACAAAAUUAACGGCACCACCAACCAACCAGCCCAGAUUCAUGUGGUUUUUUGUUUUGUUUUUAGCUGUCCCAGGGCGCCUGGGCGAUCUUUGGUGACCUUUUAUUCUGUAAUAACUCAAAAACCCAAUGCCAUUAUCUUAAUAAUGGCAUUAUACAUCUUAUUUUUCAUGGCACAAACACAGCACUAUUGAAACCCAGUGGAUUAUUUUAUUUGCACCAAUUGUGGGGGGCACCUUCAUGCCACCACUUGAGAAUUGUAAUUAUUAUAGAGAGACUUUCUGAGUUGGGGCUAUAUUGAAAUACAUGCAAAGAUUGGCUAAAAUCAGCUGCUUCCACCAAUAAAGCAGAGUAUAUUAAAAUAUGUCCAUCACCCAGGCAAUUUCAUGAGCAACUGGGUGCAGCAAUAUGUAGCAUAAAGUAAAACAUGGAAUAGAAAAUCGCUUACACCACUGUACUGUAACUUCUAAUCGGAAAACAAUUGUAAAAAAAAAAAAAAAGCAAAGUAAUACAUUAGAAAUAUGCAUAAAAAUAAUUAUACUCUGCAAUCGACUGUAAGUGAACAUUUAAACUCCUACCUCAUCAGCAGGCAGUUCAACCAAUUGGGGACCCUCUUGUUCUGGUCAAUGGGGUAUGAUCUUAUCCCAUAAACCCACACCAGCAGAGGUUUAAAGAGUUCUUCUGCUCCUCAGAUAAAAAGAGUGAACCUGCUCAGACAACAGGUAGAAGCCAUACUAUAGCCACUUUUUAUACUAAGCCCAGAUUACAUGUUUCUGGACCACACUUUGUGCAGAGAUCAGUGGCCUGCUGACCGUGUAAUUACACAGGUGCACUGAAGAUAAUUCUGCGUUGUGAACAGUUUGACAAAGUCUGAUGAUUGGUUGGAAGCUUCAAAGCAGUGUUGCAAUUAUAAAUUACAUUCAUCAUUUAACUGUGGGUGUAGAGCAUCCUCUACCCAGUAAGACGUGCAAUUGUAUAAAGUUGUUUUGGUGGUUAGUCUGACCAUUUAAAUUCUCCAAAUUAUCAUAUUAGGAGGAACAGGUUGGUGCCAUAUAAAUAUUGAUAAUAGUGCAGAAUAUUAAUGUAAACAUUGCAAAGUACAGAAGUGUCCAAGCUUGAGCCUCCACCUUUUGACCAAAAUGGCCAUUUUAUUUUCAUCGAGCUCUGUGAUGGCCUGUGGGUUAGUAUGUCCAUUGAAAACUGUAAAUAUUGUACAUUUAUGCCAAUACACCCUAUUAAAUUUAUAUCACAGGGAAUAUACUUUGUGGAGUUUUUUUUAGAGGCAUAUUAUUAGUUGAAAACUUUCUUAAGGCCAAAUUCAACAUAAGAGCCUCCCGUCCCCCGUCAGAUAAUGUACUAUAUAUUAUAUUGAUGGUAUAGGUUACAGGGAAUAAAACCUGCUGAGUACAUGCAGGCAAAGUUCCAAGUUCCUGGUGGUAGAUUGUAAAUCACACCUUCUAACGGAAUGUCAGACCUUCACUGAAGAACAACUUGGAAAGUCUCCUAUAUUGGUGUAUUGUCUGAUUGGAUGUGCCAAACUUUAUAUUUGCCACAGUAACUGGUGUAUGCGUUGGUUUUACAUAAAGAC